rnacentral:rRNA from 1 species
CCUACGGGUUGCAGCAGUGGGGAAUAUUGCACAAUGGGCGCAAGCCUGAUGCAGCCAUGCCGCGUGUAUGAAGAAGGCCUUCGGGUUGUAAAGUACUUUCAGCGAGGAGGAAGGCGAUAAGGUUAAUAACCUUGUCGAUUGACGUUACUCGCAGAAGAAGCACCGGCUAACUCCGUGCCAGCAGCCGCGGUAAUACGGGGGGUGCAAGCGUUAAUCGGAAUUACUGGGCGUAAAGCGCACGCAGGCGGUCUGUCAAGUCGGAUGUGAAAUCCCCGGGCUCAACCUGGGAACUGCAUUCGAAACUGGCAGGCUAGAGUCUUGUAGAGGGGGGUAGAAUUCCAGGUGUAGCGGUGAAAUGCGUAGAGAUCUGGAGGAAUACCGGUGGCGAAGGCGGCCCCCCGGACAAAGACUGACGCUCAGGUGCGAAAGCGGGGGGAGCAAACAGGAUUAGAUACCCGCGUAGUC